AUGUUUGAAAGUUUUUUGGUCCUUGAACAUCACUGGAAAUAUGUGGUAGUUUCCCCUCUUGUUGGUUGUGUGAACUGCUUUAUGGAAAAUCUCAGAAAUUUUGUUUGUUUUUUUAUCUUGAACACUUGUAAAUGUAUUUUUUAUGAGGAGUACUUGUAGUUUCCCCUAUUAAUCUUCUACUUCCAUUGUUGGUUGUUUUAGACGGUGGAGUUGUUAUAUAAGAAUCAUCUUUAAGCAGGUGGUGGAAAGGCCCCUAAAGCAAAUAUGAGUCCUCCCACAGAUGAUAGAGGUUGCUCUGCUUGGGUCCAGUUUUAAGCGCAUUGAAAAUGGAGGGGAAAUUGAUGCUAGUGCACCUUGGGACUACGCUGAGAUUCAGAUUUUUCCAUCCCAGAACAGUUCCCUACCGAGUGGAAGCACGAAAGACAUUAUCAAAAGCUGAAAACUACUUGAUUAUUAGCAGAGGCUGGAGCAGGAGCUGAAGGUUGUUUGCGGUGGUUAAGGGUUGUCUGGCAUGCGAGGAACUCGAGAGUAAUGGUAUUUGUUAGGUUCUUAGAUUUAGUUAAUAGUUUUUCAUGGAA